CAGGCCUAACACAUGCAAGUCGAACGAUGCUUUCGGGCAUAGUGGCGCACGGGUGCGUAACGCGUGGGAAUCUGCCCUUUGGUCUGGGAUAACUGUUGGAAACGACAGCUAAUACCAGAUGAUGACGUAAGUCCAAAGAUUUAUCGCCAGAGGAUGAGCCCGCGUCGGAUUAGCUAGUUGGUGGGGUAAAGGCCUACCAAGGCGACGAUCCGUAGCUGGUCUGAGAGGAUGAUCAGCCACACUGGGACUGAGACACGGCCCAGACUCCUACGGGAGGCAGCAGUGGGGAAUAUUGGACAAUGGGCGAAAGCCUGAUCCAGCAAUGCCGCGUGAGUGAUGAAGGCCUUAGGGUUGUAAAGCUCUUUUACCCGGGAUGAUAAUGACAGUACCGGGAGAAUAAGCUCCGGCUAACUCCGUGCCAGCAGCCGCGGUAAU
rnacentral:rRNA from 1 species